CUUGAAUGAGUAGGUGUGUCCAACAUUUUGACUGGUACUGUAGGUGGACAAAUGAUUAGGAAACACAGGGUGGAGGUAUUUUUCACAAUGAUGGCUUUCGUCAUUUCCCCAAAAUGGCUGCUGUUCAUUGAUUAAACUGAAUCUUUUUCUAGCCACAUUCACAAUUGUCAUUCUUGGGUAAGAUGGAAGCUAUUUCCAUGUUAGAUACACAAAGAAAUGAAAAUAGAUUAUAUAUGAACACAGUUUAUGCAGCUCUGACUAGGCACCAAACAUAUUCAGUGAUCUGUUGUUAUAGAGACUGUUUUGGUUUGUCUAAACUUGACACCAUAGGAAGCAGGGUCGCCUUCAUUAGGGCACAACGUAGCAGGAUGCUUUGCAACACAAACAUUUGGGCAGUCUCACCCUGUCUUUAGCCUGUUUUGUUCCAUUUGGUGCCCAAUGACCCAGUUGUUGUGAAACGUCACACAAUUUAUUACCUCUUUGCUCGUCAAUAAAUCCUGCUUUGUGAUUUCAUGCCUAGAUGAAACAACACACAUACAUACAUACAUACAUACAUACACACAUACAUACAUACACACACACAUACUACUGGAUUUGUCAAUACAAAACAUCUGUUUAGACCCAUGUUUCACAUUUGAUCACUUUAAUUAUUAAUUUCUGUUGUUGCAUGAAAGGCAAUUUUUGCAUACAAACAUCAGCAACUGGAUCUGAAUGUCCAGAAAUGAGCAGAAAGUUCAAAGCAUUCCUUCCUUUAAUCCUUUUCCUCCUUGUCCCCAAUAAAAAGACAUCCAGCAUCUCUAGUCAUUCGUCUCAACCCCUCCCCUCUGCAGUAAAUGUGCUAUGGCCCAACACUCCCACUAGGUGGAGCUGUCACUCAAAGACAAAUGAGGGGCUUUGUAACGUGUGAGGCAUUCUAUUCAUUUGAAUGCCCUUGGUCUUAUUGACCAUCAGUACCCAUAAAAUACAUUCAUACUACAAACUGCCUUUCCCCUAUUCCCUUAUUCCCCAAAUACAUAAAAACAUGAUCAAAUAUAUAAAAAAAUAAUAUUUAUCUCAAACUAACGUUGUCAGUGAAUUCUUGGAUUUAUCCAAACAUUUUUGUUGAUACCUGUAUCGUCCCUGUUUUCCCAUGAUUCCAUGCUUUGGUGAUUCCAUGAUCACCCCUGAGAUGAAAGGAGGUGAGAGAUCAAAGAUGAGCAUAACCCUUCAUAGGCAUCAUAACAGCUUCAGCUCGAUGAAUGGGCCUGUGUGUGUGUGUGUGUGUGUGUGUGUGUGUGUGUGUGUGUGUGUGUGUGUGUGUGUGUGUGUGUGUGUGUGUGUGUGUGUGAAAUGCAUGCAGUGUUAACUGUGAAGAAGUCACAUUCAUAAGCCUGUUCGAGUCAAACUUGAUGGAGUCACUAUGGGGAGAGCGUUGUAUCAUUUUUACCCCCAUGCAUCAUAAAUCACUUUGAAUUUCAAUAAAAAGCUUAGUAAAUGCUAAAUAGUCAUUGUCGGAUGUUGCCCUCCAUCUUGAUUGGACAAACAAAACCCAGUCUGUGUUGGCGGUCUCAGACAUUCUGUUUCAGGCGACUCCAAUCUAUUUUGAGAGCUAAACAUCGCAGGACUACUUCUGUCUACACUCUUUAUUCAGAAGUUGUGCUCGUCCUCCUCAGCAACCUAUUCCUCCCUCCAUCUUGCCCUAUUUCCCUGUGUGUCUCUUCUUUGUGGUUCAAGGGCUGUGGUGGUGGGUCUCCAAUCUAAACUCUGCUAUGGCAGGUGGUGGGUCUCCAAUCUAAACUCUGCUGUGGCAGGUGGUGGGUCUCCAAUCUAAACUCUGCUAUGGCUGGUGGUGGGUCUCCAAUCUAAACUCUGCUUUGGCUGGUGGUGGGUCUCCAAUCUAAACUCUGCUAUGGCAGGUGGUGGGUCUCCAGUCUAAACUCUGCUAUGGCUGGUGGUGGGUCUCCAAUCUAAACUCUGCUAUGGCAGGUGGUGGGUCUCCAAUCUAAACUCUGCUAUGGCUGGUGGUGGGUCUCCAAUCUAAACUCUGCUAUGGCAGGUGGUGGGUCUCCAAUCUAAACUCUGCUAUGGCAGGUGGUGGGUCUCCAAUCUAAACUCUGCUAUGGCAGGUGGUGGGUCUCCAAUCUAGACUCUGCUAUGGCAAGUGGUGGGUCUCCAGUCUAGACUCUGCUUUGGCUGGUGGUGGGUCUCCAAUCUAGACUCUGCUAUGGCAAGUGGUGGGUCUCCA